rnacentral:rRNA from 1 species
UCCAGGCCCUACGGGGUGCAGCAGGCGCGAAACCUCCGCAAUGUGAGAAAUCGCGACGGGGGGAUCCCAAGUGCCAUUCUUAACGGGAUGGCUUUUCAUUAGUGUAAAGAGCUUUUGGAAUAAGAGCUGGGCAAGACCGGUGCCAGCCGCCGCGGUAACACCGGCAGCUCUAGUGGUAGCAGUUUUUAUUGGGCCUAAAGCGUCCGUAGCCGGUUUAAUAAGUCUCUGGUGAAAUCCUGCAGCUUAACUGUGGGAAUUGCUGGAGAUACUAUUAGACUUGAGAUCGGGAGAGGUUAGAGGUACUCCCAGGGUAGAGGUGAAAUUCUGUAAUCCUGGGAGGACCGCCUGUUGCGAAGGCGUCUGACUGGAACGAUUCUGACGGUGAGGGACGAAAGCUAGGGGCGCGAACCGGAUUAGAUACCCGGGUAGUCCUAGCUGUAAACGAUGCGGACUUGGUGUUGGGGUGGCUUUGAGCUGUCCCAGUGCCGAAGGGAAGCUGUUAAGUCCGCCGCCUGGGAAGUACGGUCGCAAGACUGAAACUUAAAGGAACUGGCGGGGGAGCACCACAACGCGUGGAGCCUGCGGUUUAAUUGGAGUCAACGCCGG